rnacentral:rRNA from 1 species
AUAUCAAUAAGCGGAGGAAAAGAAACUAACAAGGAUUCCCCUAGUAACGGCGAGUGAAGCGGGAAAAGCUCAAAUUUGAAAUCUGGCAUCCUUCGGGUGUCCGAGUUGUAAUCUAUAGAAGUGUUUUCUGUGCUGGACUGUAUUCAAGUUCCUUGGAAUAGGAUAUCAAAGAGGGUGAGAAUCCCGUACUUCAUACAACGACCAGUACUAUGCGAUACACUUUCUAAGAGUCGAGUUGUUUGGGAAUGCAGCUCUAAAUGGGUGGUAAAUUCCAUCUAAAGCUAAAUAUUGGCGAGAGACCGAUAGCGAACAAGUACCGUGAGGGAAAGAUGAAAAGCACUUUGGAAAGAGAGUUAAACAGUAC